rnacentral:rRNA from 1 species
ACGAACGCUGGCGGCGUGCUUAACACAUGCAAGUCGAACGGAAAGGCCCUGCUUUUGUGGGGUGCUCGAGUGGCGAACGGGUGUGUAACACGUGAGUAACCUGCCCUUGACUUUGGGAUAACUUCAGGAAACUGGGGCUAAUACCGGAUAGGAGCUCCUGCUGCAUGGUGGGGGUUGGAAAGUUUCGGCGGUUGGGGAUGGACUCGCGGCUUAUCAGCUUGUUGGUGGGGUAGUGGCUUACCAAGGCUUUGACGGGUAGCCGGCCUGAGAGGGUGACCGGCCACAUUGGGACUGAGAUACGGCCCAGACUCCUACGGGAGGCAGCAGUGGGGAAUAUUGCACAAUGGGCGGAAGCCUGAUGCAGCAACGCCGCGUGCGGGAUGACGGCCUUCGGGUUGUAAACCGCUUUCGCCUGUGACGAAGCGUGAGUGACGGUAAUGGGUAAAGAAGCACCGGCUAACUACGUG